rnacentral:rRNA from 1 species
AUGCCCCCCACCGCCCUCCUCCUCGUCGUCCUCGCCGUCGCCGCCCUCCACGCCCCUGCCGCCUCCGCCGCGUUGUCCCAGGAGCCACCAGCGACGCCGUGCGCGGCGGCCAUCGUGUCCUUCUCGCCGUGCCUGGCGCCGUCGCGGUGGUGGCGCCGCCCGCCCUGCCCUCUCCCGCGCCCACCAGCGCCUGCUGCGCGGCGUUCCUGCGCGCCGUUUCCGCCGGGGACGGCGAAGGCGGCGGAGGGGAGGGAUGCUUCUGCCACCUGCUCCGCGACCCGCUCCUCCUCGGCUUCCCCGUCGACGCCGCGCGCCUCGGCGCUCUCCUCCCCACCUGCGCCUCCGCGAAAACCUCCGCCGCCACGGCCGUCGAGGCUGAGGCCCUCUUCGCCGACAAGUGCCGAGAGCUCAAGUCACUGCCUGAGAUGCAUUUUACACCUCCAUCGCCACCUCCCGCACCAAAACUUUCUCCAGCUGCCGUUCCAGAACCAGCGUCCCCGAAGAUGGAGGAGCAUUCGACCUCAGCGACGCCUGUGCCGGAUGAUCGGUCGGGAUCCGAUGCCUUGUGUGCCUGCCGGGUCUUCCUUGUGGCCUUGGUCUUGGGAGCAGCAGUCUUGA